CAUAUUACCGAAGCUAUGCGAUAGUAGUAAUACGAUCGGUAGGGGAGCAUUCUCACAGGGGUGAAGGUUGUGGCGUAAGCCAUGGGCUGGACUGGUGAGAAAAGCAAAUGUAGGCAUAAGUAACGAUAAUGCGGAUGAGAAAUCCGCACACCGAAAGACUAAGGAUUCCUCCGCUAUGCUAAUCAACGGAGGGUUAGGCGGGGCCUAAGGUAUCAGCCGAAGGGCGACAUCCGAUGGACAGCAGGUUAAUAUUCCUGCCCCUGCAUGCAGUGUGAAAGAGUGACGGAGUACCGUGGAUGUACGUACUGACGGAAUAGUGCGUUGAGCGAGCCUACGGGCAAAGCGAACAUCGAAGAGCUUCCAAGAAAAGCUUUUGAAACGCCAGCUGUAUGCAGCCCGUACCGUAAACCGACACAGGUAGUCGAGAAGAAUAUUCUAAGGUGCUCGAGUGAAUCACGGCUAAGGAACUCGGCAAAUUAACCCUGUAACUUCGGGAGAAGGGGAGCCUCCUCUGCAAAGAGAGGCCGCAGAGAAAUGGCCCAGGCGACUGUUUAGCAAAAACACAGGGCUCUGCCAAAAC
rnacentral:ncRNA from 1 species